UUGGACGCCGUUCUGGACUCUGGCAGCGUUGUCAGCCUGGUCCAGUCCCGCCUGCUGCCUCCCCGUUCCACGCCCCGAAAACGCCUGCCGAUAACCUGUGUCCAUGGGGAUACCAAGAAGGUCUCGACCCGCUGGGUCAAAAUAACCACAGCAGGCGGAAGCUGGAACCUGGAGGUAGGCCUCAUCCAAGACCUGCCGGUGCCGGUGAUCCUCGGGCGGGACUGGCCGGGCUUCCCGGAGGCUCUCAAGACCGCUGCCCGGGCCGACAACCCAUCCAAGCCGCCGGAGAAGAAGAGAGGGGCCCGCCGCCAGACUGCACUCAUAACCUCCGACAGCGGGAGAGAUGAAGCCAGUCCUUGAACCGCGACACAGAGCUAAUUCCCCCAAGAUUCACCGUUGCCGUACUCACCGACUGCACCCUGAGCACCGAGCACCCAGAAGAUAACGCCACUGACAGCGAUUGUGCACCGGCUCACCAUUCACGUAUCACAUAUUGUUAAAUAAACGUGCCCUCCGGGGUUCAAACGCC